AGGUAAUAACAUGGUUAUAUACAGGGAGUACCAGGUAAUAACAUCGCUAUAUACAGGGAGUACCAGGUAAUAACAUGGCUAUAUACAGGGAGUACCAGGUAAUAACAUGGUUAUAUACAGGGAGUACCAGGUAAUAACAUGGUUAUAUACAGGAAGUACCAGGUAAUAACAUGGCUAUAUACAGG